AGAUGUCUCCCAAGUCCCAGGCUAGCACCCUAACCACUGAACCAUCCAGUCUCUCACUGAAGCAUAGUUCUAUUCUAUUUGUUUUUUUAUAAUAUGCUGAGGCAAGGAAUACUAUUCCAGAGUUAAUCAUAUAGCAUUCUUAUCAGGGCCCCACAUGUAACAAGAGGUUACUGGCCUAGUGGAUUGGGGAAGCAGUAAAUCUGAUAUGCCUUGAUUUUAUUAAUGCUUCUGACAGUCUCAGAUGCUCUCAUAAGCAAACUAGGGAAAUGUGGUCUAGACUAAAUUGCCAUAAAGGAAAACUGCAAGUAUUUAGAAGAAUUCCCACCAGGUCCUGCUACAGAUGAUCAAUAAAGGUGGUUGUGACCACGUUUGUGUUUUUAUUUACACACAAAGAAAAAUUAUGAA